GAUGAAGAACGCAGCGAAAUGCGAUAAGUAAUGUGAAUUGCAGAAUUCAGUGAAUCAUCGAAUCUUUGAACGCACAUUGUGCCCGCCAGUAUUCUGGCGGGCAUGCCUGUUCGAGCGUCAUUUCAACCAUCAAGCCCCCGGCUUGUGUUGGGGACCUGCGGCUGCCGCAGGCCCUGAAAACCAGUGGCGGGCUCGCUGUCACACCGAGCGUAGUAGAUUUUCAUCUCGCUCAGGGCGUGCUGCGGGUUCCGGCCGUAAAAAGCCUUAUUUACCCAAGGUUGACCUCGGAUCAGGUAGGAAGACCCGCUGAACUUAAGCAUAUCAAUAAGCGGAGGA
rnacentral:misc_RNA from 1 species